UACAAGCUGAUGUUACUCGUUGCAGUAUCCGAAGCUUUUCGGCUUCAAGCGUCUACAAAGAUGCUCAAGCUCCUUUACAAACUUUACGGCACCAUCAACUAUGGAUGCUUGUUCAACACAUGCAACCAUCAUUUGUGUUAAAACUUUAAUUUUAAGCUCUUGCUUUGGAAAAAACGUGGGGUGAUAAGAGAAAUGGAGGAAAAUAAAUUAUAUUUAGGUGUUAUAAUUUGAUUUGAUUGGUUAAAGUUUUUUUUUAG
rnacentral:lncRNA from 1 species